rnacentral:rRNA from 1 species
GACGAACGCUGGCGGCGUGCUUAACACAUGCAAGUCGAACGGAAAGGCCCUGCUUUUGUGGGGUGCUCGAGUGGCGAACGGGUGAGUAACACGUGAGUAACCUGCCCUUGACUUUGGGACAACUUCAGGAAACUGGGGCUAAUACCGGAUAGGAGCUCCUGCUGCAUGGUGGGGGUUGGAAAGUUUCGGCGGUUGGGGAUGGACUCGCGGCUUAUCAGCUUGUUGGUGGGGUAGUGGCUUACCAAGGCUUUGACGGGUAGCCGGCCUGAGAGGGUGACCGGCCACAUUGGGACUGAGAUACGGCCCAGACUCCUACGGGAGGCAGCAGUGGGGAAUAUUGCACAAUGAGCGGAAGCCUGAUGCAGCAACGCCGCGUGCGGGAUGACGGCCUUCGGGUUGUAAACCGCUUUCGCCUGUGACGAAGCGUGAGUGACGGUAAUGGGUAAAGAAGCACCGGCUAACUACGUG